GUGCUUGCUUCGGCAGCACAUAUACUAAAAUUGGAACGAUGCAGAGAAGAUUAGCAUGGCCCCUGUGCAAGGAUGACAUGCAAAUUUGUGAAGCAUUCCUUAUUUUU
rnacentral:snRNA from 1 species